UUAUAUUUUCAGAUGGAGACAGAAAAAAGGAAAGAAAAAGAAAAGAAAAACAGUGAAAGGAUCAUUUUGUGUAUCAUGUAUGACCGCCCCCUGCCCAUCUUCUCUGAAAGAAAGAGAGCAUACUAUAAUUUCUUUUCACCAUUACCAUCAUUCUAAAUAGGAUCAUU
rnacentral:ribozyme from 12 species